GAUUUCAACUGAAAAAGUCAUCAACAAUAAAGUUGUAUAACUCAUCAAGAUCUAUAACUUUUAUUUUGAUCAUUUCUUCAUCCGAUGAAGUGAUAGUAAUAUUGUUCACAAAAUUUACAUUUCUUUCAUAUGGUUUUAUAAAGUAUAAGAGAUAUAAGAGAGAUAUACAAAUUUUGUGAACAAUUUUACUAUAACUUUGUCGGAUGAAGAAAUGAUCAAAAUAAAAGUUGUAUAUCUUGAUGUGUUCAAUAACUUUUAUGUUCAUGACUUUUUCAGCUGAAAUU
rnacentral:pre_miRNA from 1 species